GACUAUUCAUGGAUUCAACUAAUCCUAGUCUAGUCAUGCAUCUCAUGCAUGUUAGAUCUUCUUAGAUUUAAUUUUAAAUAUUUUGAUUUCAGAUUCUAUCAUAUCUGAUGUGAUAUCUAAAAUCUUUAAUAUCAAAUAAAUAAAAAUUAAAAUUAGAUCUAAAUUAGAUCUGUAAUAGAGCCAACAACCUGGCUCUGAUACCAGUUGA
rnacentral:lncRNA from 1 species